AAGAUACGUACAAGCACGAACAUUGCCGAUAACGCGCGAACAAUAGCAAAAGCAAAACAAGAAAAAUUAUAGAUUAAUGAAAGAAAUAUUAGACCCAAGCAGCGGCCCCUCAGCACACAGGUACUCACAGCGCUGGUCUGGCCGAGCGCGCAACAGUAGCUGGAGCGUGUCAGGUGAAGACGAUUUCGUGCUGACAUCUGACUGGAUUAUUAUAUAGACUUUGCGCGCUGUCUUAUGCCUGACGUCGACCGUCAAAACAUUCUGAACUGGCGUUUGAAACAACAACAACACUCGUCGUUUGUGUGUGUAUGUGCAUUAUUAGCCACAGCACGAUGUGAGGUGCGGCGCGGCUGACGGCGCGAACUUCAUGCGAAAUCUUUAAUUACCAGUAGGUUUGAAAUUUCAGCGCGGCACUUGAGCCGGCAAUUGACUCACGGAUGCGGCGCAAGAGCAAGUGUCGCACAACAACAAAAGCAAGACAGCGGCAAUCGCAGGAGAGGCGGUGAGCAGAAGCGGCUGUGCCAUCAACAGCAGAUAAAACUAAAAGGUAAACAAUCUUUUGCUCCGGCGACCGAAACGAACAAAAAUGCGCGCAGAGCAAACAAAAAAUCCAAGCACAAACAGAAAUAAAAAGUAAAAGUAAUUCAA